rnacentral:rRNA from 1 species
AACUGAUUGAACGUGCUUGCACGGACUUGACGUUGGUUUACCAGCGAGUGGCGGACGGGUGAGUAACACGUAGGUAACCUGCCCCAAAGCGGGGGAUAACAUUUGGAAACAGAUGCUAAUACCGCAUAACAAUUUGAAUCGCAUGAUUCAAAUUUAAAAGAUGGCUUCGGCUAUCACUUUGGGAUGGACCUGCGGCGCAUUAGCUUGUUGGUAGGGUAACGGCCUACCAAGGCUGUGAUGCGUAGCCGAGUUGAGAGACUGAUCGGCCACAAUGGAACUGAGACACGGUCCAUACUCCUACGGGAGGCAGCAGUAGGGAAUCUUCCACAAUGGGCGCAAGCCUGAUGGAGCAACACCGCGUGAGUGAAGAAGGGUUUCGGCUCGUAAAGCUCUGUUGUUAGAGAAGAACGUGCGUGAGAGCAACUGUUCACGCAGUGACGGUAUCUAACCAGAAAGUCACGGCUAACUACGUGCCAGCAGCCGCGGUAAUACGUAGGUGGCAAGCGUUAUCCGGAUUUAUUGGGCGUAAAGCGAGCGCAGGCGGUUUGAUAAGUCUGAUGUGAAAGCCUUUGGCUUAACCAAAGAAGUGCAUCGGAAACUGUCAGACUUGAGUGCAGAAGAGGACAGUGGAACUCCAUGUGUAGCGGUGGAAUGCGUAGAUAUAUGGAAGAACACCAGUGGCGAAGGCGGCUGUCUGGUCUGCAACU